GCCGAAGUGGUGGAACUGGCAGACGCGCGGGACUCAAAAUCCCGUGGCCCUCGCGGCCGUGCGGGUUCGACCCCCGCCUUCGGCACCA
rnacentral:tRNA from 1 species